rnacentral:rRNA from 1 species
CCUACGGGAGGCAGCAGUAGGGAAUCUUCCACAAUGGGCGAAAGCCUGAUGGAGCAACGCCGCGUGGGUGAAGAAGGUCUUCGGAUCGUAAAACUCUGUUGUUAGAGAAGAAAGAGCGUGAGAGUAACUGUUCACGUUUCGACGGUAUCUAACCAGAAAGCGACGGCUAACUACGUGCCAGCAGCCGCGGUAAUACGUAGGUGGCAAGCGUUAUCCGGAUUUAUUGGGCGUAAAGGGAACGCAGGCGGUCUUUUAAGUCUGAUGUGAAAGCCUUCGGCUUAACCGGAGUAGUGCAUUGGAAACUGGGAGACUUGAGUGCAGAAGAGGAGAGUGGAACUCCAUGUGUAGCGGUGAAAUGCGUAGAUAUAUGGAAGAACACCAGUGGCGAAAGCGGCUCUCUGGUCUGUAACUGACGCUGAGGUUCGAAAGCGUGGGUAGCAAACAGGAUUAGAUACCCGAGUAGUC